AACGAACGCUGGCGGCAGGCUUAACACAUGCAAGUCGAACGCCCCGCAAGGGGAGUGGCAGACGGGUGAGUAACGCGUGGGAACAUACCCUUUCCUGCGGAAUAGCUCUGGGAAACUGGAAUUAAUACCGCAUACGCCCAACGGGGGAAAGAUUUAUCGGGGAAGGAUUGGCCCGCGUUGGAUUAGCUAGUUGGUGGGGUAAAGGCCUACCAAGGCGACGAUCCAUAGCUGGUCUGAGAGGAUGAUCAGCCACAUUAGGACUGAGACACGGCCCAAACUCCUACGGGAGGCAGCAGUGGGGAAUAUUGGACAAUGGGCGCAAGCCUGAUCCAGCCAUGCCGCGUGAGUGAUGAAGGCCUUAGGGUUGUAAAGCUCUUUCACCGAUGAAGAUAAUGACGGUAGUCGGAGAAGAGGCCCCGGCUAACUUCGUGCCAGCCGCCGCCGUAAAAC
rnacentral:rRNA from 1 species